CAGCGUGGGAGCCCGCGGCUCUCCUGUUGCACAAAGGACUCCAGAGGGUCAGCACUGUGCCGCUGUCCAAGCCCUUUCAGUCGCGGAUAAGAAGGUCGCCGUCAGGAACAGAAGAGGAAGAGAUGGGGUAGCUGUGCCUAUGGAACCACUUAACUAGCUGGAGACCAGAAGGCUUUCGUGGGUUGGAGUCACCUGCUUCUCACUUCCGGGCUGUGAACACAAGGCCGCACCCACUUCACACGGAGCCACUUCCCAGAGUCAGGGCCAGGAGCACAGAGAAGGCCAGAGCGGCCCUCACAGCCACAGGGCUUGUCCAUGGCGUCUGGUGGGGGAAGCAGCUAUGGAAGCCCCAAAUGGCCAAAACAGGAGUCACGCCGCACAAACACAAUGACGUGAGUGGAAGCUGUUUUCUCUGGGGGGAGGAGGAGCGGGGCCAGGAAUUAUAUCCCAUCUGAAGUGCAUGUUACAGGACCAGCAGGAGCUUGCCAAGAAAGGGGCUGAUGGACUCCUGCUCCCUGCUGCUGGGGUGAAGAGCACCGGGCUCCAUGGCUGGGAGGUUGCCUUCUCGCACCGACAUACUCACUUCAUCCAUUCCCUGGAAACUGAGCCCAAAGCCCAAAUGAGUAGUACUGAGCAGUGGACGUCUGGGGGGAGCCACAGUCACCCUGCAGUGCAGUCUCAGUGCUGACACCUCUCUGUCUGUAAAAGGUGACAACAUAAACUAAUCAUGUUAGACUUACUAAAUACAAUGAGACCACUGCCCAAAGGCGAUGUGGAUGGGAAUCUAAACUGAUUCAAUCUGAGAAAAGGAACCAGCCAGAGGAGCAUGCCCCACCUCUGUGAAUACUGGAACUCUGAAACACAUUAAUGAUGACUAAGGGUGUUAAGGGUAUUACAUCACCUUCAGAAAAAUAUGUCCAAGGGGUUCUUGUUGCAGAAAGCAUAAAAUAGGCUCCAGUAAGAUCACAACGUCAGCUAGUUAAACAUCUCUCCUGUUUCUUCCUAGAAAUUAUGCAAAGAGAAGGGGCAAGGGUUGGGGUAGGAGUUAAAUGCUGCGUCCCAUAAACUUAUACAGAUUUUACCCCCAAAUUCCAGCAUGCUUGUAAAGGUGGAAAAAGCCGCUGCAUUUGGGCAGAAGUCACAUGAAAAGGCCCGGAAAGAGGCAAAAGGGAACCAACUAUAGAUACCAGAAAGUGCCAGCAAAGACAUCUCCCAGGAACGCAGAACAUACUGUGAAAUGUGAUAGCUAAGUCUCAAAACCUGCAGCAGAAGCAGGGGGAAGGCAGAAGAGAUGCCUAGCUAAGGAUUCGGAGAGGACGAGGUUUCCAAGGAAUACUGUUGUCACAGGUCUCAGGGGCAGCAAAACUAUAAACCUCAUGGUGCUGAAGUCCUGCUGUAACAUAGAAGCCCUGUGCCUUGUUUCUAAGAACUAGGAAGCACAGAGCUAUUGGCAGAAGGUGUUCUGGAGCUAAGUCACUCAGGACUCAGUGGAAGUGAGUAUUCAGAGACACCAGAAUUAUUGGAAGCAGUCUGUUUUUGAGGCAGCGGCAAAAGUGUCUGUAAUCUACUGUUCCAUAGCAGACCCCUAAAAUGAUGGAUUAAAAAGCUAUCAAUCUGCCUACCACUCAGGGAGGUGGCAAACAAGAUAAGCUCAGCUGGGAUGGAUUAUCUCGGGGCUGUGUGGCCUCAUGGGGUCUCCCUCUGGACCUGAAUCUCAGAAGAAGAAAAACGCCUGGAAUCUCUUUCCAAAAAGUGACUUGGACAUUUUCACAUGGUGAUAGUUGGUUGCAUUUCCAGCAGCAAAAGCAAGGCCGAGCCAAAUGUUCAUGUCCUCUCACUCUUCUGCAUGUGUCCUGGUUGCUAAUGUGCCACUGGCUGAAACACAUCAUAAAAGUAGGACUAGAGCAGUGACACAAGAGCAAGGAUGCAGGGAAGUGUCGGCUGCUGGGGAUCAUUAAUGUAACAGUUUGCCACAGAAGAUAGAAGCCUUUGGGUUUGAAAGGCUGCCUUGAAGCCUCUGUUAUAAGACAGAUACCAAGACACUAUAAUAAAAAUCCCCAAAAGGAGCAUCAAAACUUAGCAAUAGGUGAAAAAAGUGUUGCCACAGAGGCAAUGAAAAUUUUAGCUAUGAAUUCUGUAACAACCCUCAUAAACAUAGAUAACAGUUACAUAGUACUUACCUGACUAAUCCUAUUAGGAAGAUGAAAAUGCAGGUGUUCAAAUGCAAAUGAGUUAGGAGAGGAGCCCUGUUUAACCCAGUAGGUCAUGUUCUUUAGGGUCUGUGGUCCUGAUCAUUACACUACACUGUCUUUCUAAAUAAAGGAAAUUUACUACUGGAUUAAUGAAGUGAUGUGUUAUAAGGAACACCUCGAAACACAUAUGAAAAAUUCAGGUAAGAAAUGAGGAGGGUAAAAUUAGCUGAUAAAAAUAAAAUAGGAAGAAGAAAAACCCAAACCAUCACAGAAAUAAAAUAGCCUUGGGGAGAAAAAAGCAAAAAGACAUUAAGCAUUGUGGCUAAGUAGAAGACAGUGAAGGCAGAUAUAAGGAGAGAGGUCAAAAUUAAAUGAAAAUAAAGAAAAAAUUUUAAAUUAUUUAUAUGAAAAUGAUAAUGAUUGAAGAAAUGCAAUAACAGAGCCAACACACAUAGAAUUGUGACUCUGAAAAAGGGGACCUCAUCAGUGGAAGAGGACAAAUAUUUGAAACUGAAUUAUAAAAAGAACUUUGCUAAUAUUGGAAAAAACCUUGAAUUUACAUGUUAAACAUAAACACUAUUCAUGAUGGUUGAAACAAGACAUACGCUAGCGAAUUACUAAAUUUUGUUUUGCUUCAGAUUCACUUUACUUGUACCAUACCAAUUUUAUUAAAUAUAAAAAAAAGUCUUAAAGUGAAAAGGAAAUGUUCCUAGAAGGAAAAAUAAAUCAACCUACCCUCAGUCUUCUUCAGAACAACAACAUUCAAACCCUAAUGACAAUGGGACAAAACGUAACGCUACUCUCAAGUGUAAUCAAAAGACUCCUGUCUAGUCAAAUUGUUCAUCACAUACAAAGGUCAUAAUUUUAAAACAUGAGAAGUCGAAGAAUGAAUGAAAAGGAACAAAUCUAGGGAAAAUGUCAGGAGAACUGGUGGUGAACAGUCAAUAUAUUUCUACUGUGAAAUGAAGACAGUAAAAAAUGAAUGUUACAGGCUUUGAGAAUAUAGAAAUGACAUGAGUCAUGUAUAAUCAAAAAGGAAAAGCAAAAGGUGGUGGUGACUGGACUAAGUUCUCUGAGUGACUCAUCUAUAAGGGUGAAGGUUCAAAAUGACAUUUAAAGCUGGCAUUAGUAGAGCAAGCAUGUAUAACCAUGUAAAUAUAAACACAAAGAAAUGUAACUUUCAACAACACAUAAUAGUGGAUAAAAUGCAAUGUAGGGAAAAGAGGGUUCGUGCCCAUUAUUUAUGAUGAAUGCUUAGAUCUAAAACAGUAAUGGAUUUGGAGUAUUAUAUAGGGAUACAAUUAUAAAAGUAGAAAUUAGAAAGCAAAGUUACCCCUUAAUGAACAACUUCCUAAAUACACAUAUAUGUACACACACAUACACCCCAUAAAUCAGAAUUGACACAAAUGCUUCUCAACUAAUAAAUAUUUUAAGGUACUGUAUCUUUUAAAAGAUCUUCAAAGUGCAUGAAAAGCAAAGUUCAAAUGGUUGAAAAUAAUAGGAAGAUCAAAAUUUACUCAGAUAAUGCUCCACCCACACACACACAUGCAAAGGUAGAGUAGUAACAACAAUAAAGCAGAAGUUAUGACCUUAAUAUCACACAAUUUUGAAUCAGCACCAAUAAGCAUUAUGUGAGACAAAAAAGAUGUAUAAUAUAAUGCAAAAAGAUUAAAAAUACAGUGAAGAGGUGCCUCGUGAGUUUUUAUAAACCAAAUGCAUUGCAGGUAUUACAAGAGGUAGAAAAACAAGGAAGAAACAGAUCAAAAUUGGGAAAUUUUACCCAUCCUGCAGUCUAAAUCUGGAUGUAUCAGACUCUGUGCCUCAAAGGUAGAGAAUAUAUGUUCUUUAUGAGGACUAAUAUUAUAUUCAUGAAAAAUGGUCAUAUAUUAAUCUAUAAAGAUAAAAUGCAAAAAUAAAGGACCAUGUACAAUAUUCUAUUAUCACAAUUCCAUAAGUGUAGAAGUUAAC
ensembl:lncRNA